rnacentral:rRNA from 1 species
AACACGUAGGGAGCUAGCGUUGUUCGGAAAUACUGGGCGUAAAGCGCACGUAGGCGGCGCAGCAAGUCUGGGGUGAAAUCCCGGGGCUCAACCCCGGAACUGCCCUUGAAACUGCAGUGCUAGAAUCUUGGAGAGGCGAGUGGAAUUCCGAGUGUAGAGGUGAAAUUCGUAGAUAUUCGGAAGAACACCAGUGGCGAAGGCGACUCGCUGGACAAGUAUUGACGCUGAGGUGCGAAAGCGCGGGGAGCAAACAG